rnacentral:rRNA from 1 species
GAUGAACGCUGGCGGCGUGCCUAAUACAUGCAAGUCGAGCGAACGGACGAGAAGCUUGCUUCUCUGAUGUUAGCGGCGGACGGGUGAGUAACACGUGGAUAACCUACCUAUAAGACUGGGAUAACUUCGGGAAACCGGAGCUAAUACCGGAUGAUAUUUUGAACCGCAUGGUUCAAAAGUGAAAGACGGUCUUGCUGUCACUUAUAGAUGGAUCCGCGCUGCAUUAGCUAGUUGGUAAGGUAACGGCUUACCAAGGCAACGAUGCAUAGCCGACCUGAGCGGGGGAGCAGCAACACUGGAAGUGAGACACGGUCCAGACGACUGAGGAAGGGAGCAGUAGGGAAUGUGCCGCAAUGGGCGGAAGCCUGACGGAGCAAAGUCGCGUGAAAGAAGAAGGUCUUCAGGUCGUAAAACCAUGGUAGUAGUGAAAAACAUAUGUGUAAGUAACUGCGCACAUCUUGAGGGUACGUAAUAAGAAAGCCACGGCUAACUACGUC